CCUACGGGGUGCAGCAGUGAGGAAUAUUGGUCAAUGGUCGGGAGACUGAACCAGCCAAGCCGCGUGAGGGAUGAAGGUACAGAGUAUCGUAAACCUCUUUUGUCAGGGAACAAAGGCGGGGACGUGUCCCCGGAUGAGUGUACCUGAAGAAAAAGCAUCGGCUAACUCCGUGCCAGCAGCCGCGGUAAUACGGAGGAUGCGAGCGUUAUCCGGCUUUAUUGGGUUUAAAGGGUGCGCAGGCGGUCUGUUAAGUCAGCGUUCAAAGCCCGGGGCUCACCCCCGGCCCGCCGUUGAAACUGGCAGUCGCGAGUUGGAGAGAAGUAUGCGGAAUGCGCGGUGUAGCGGUGAAAUGCAUAGAUAUCGCGCAGAACUCCGAUUGCGAAGGCAGCAUGCCGGCUCCACACUGACGCUGAGGCACGAAAGCGUGGGUAUCGAACAGGAUUAGAUACCCCUGUAGUC
rnacentral:rRNA from 1 species